UGUUGGGUUGUCUGAUUGUUCACUAAUCAUUCUUCGAGGGAUUCCUUGCCGCCACACUUAUCAUCGCCUCCCAACAUGUCACUUUCAGGUGGGCAUCAUCACAGCUGCCAUAUAGGAGAACUCCCUAUCUUUGAUAUGCUCAACGGCGGUGACAUGCCUAGAGCAGUGCAUAACAUCACAGGAGAAGUCACAGGCUGUGGGGCUUUGCGGAGACUUCCCGCCACCAAGACGAGCCUCCCCAUUUUGAACGCAUUAGCAGGACCUCGGGAAGCCCAUCGUCACACCGCCCUGGGUCGUCAAGUCUCCGUUGCCGUCAUAUUUGUUCAACAUCAAAUUAAAUGAAUCCAGAAAUCAAGUGAUAGUUUGGUCAUAGUGGAUUGAAUUGGGAAGCCAUCAAGUUAUGCACUAUUCUCGUGAUGGGUUUUUGGUAUGUUUCGGUUCAUAAUUAGCUUGGUGAUCUGCAUUAGUCGUGGUUUGCUACUGAUUCUUUUUUGGAUCAGUUAUAUCUAUGUUUGACUAUUCAACUCCAUGAAUGAAUCCAUGUACAUGUCUUCACUUUCCUGUUCUAUUUUGAGAGCACACAUAUUGAGUUGUGCGGGCCAUGUCGAGUAUACCUAUUGAGUUGUGCAGGUUAAUGUCUAUAUCUAUAUGUACAGUAGCCCGUGGCGUCCUGGAAGUUUGACUAGGAAAGGCAACAACAAAACUGCGUCCUGGAAAUGUCAUUCUGCUUGGUCUUAUGAGUUUACUGAAUUGACAGACUCUUGUUUCAAUGUUUCUAAUGCUCACACCAUUAUGUCAGGCAAAAUUAUGGGGUACAUGUCUUUGCUAAUACCUCCAAAUUAUUCUCUGCAGUGAAAAAUCAAGCUUAUCUAUUUUAGGUCAGUGUUUUUUGUAUUCACUAAAUAUUGCCAGUGGUGAAGCCGAAACUAAGCAGUGUGCGUGAGGAAGGCAAGCGUGCUGACGAGCGUGGGGGCGACCAUGAUGUGGCUCGGAGAAAGGGUGCAUAUGGAUUACUUAUUACCCAUUGGGUCUGCAAAUAUGAGAGUGGCAAGGCAUGGGUAUUUAGCUCGAGCUGUGCAUGGGCUGCUCGAGCUGCGCGCCAAUGUGGAGGCCCCGCACCGCCGCCGAUGGGCUGAUGUUGUUGCACGUCGUGGCAGGGACGUCCGUGUGUGUGCUGCUUGUGCUGGGCGCUGAUGUGGUCGCCCCUGAUCGGAAGGGACGCCGCUGGAGCUGCUGCGGGAUAUGGUGGUGGUCCGCUGAUGGAGCUGGGAGCAGACGCGGAGGCAAUGGGCCCGACUCUCUGUGUGCAAAUCAUGAUGACUUGGAGCACUGUCAUGGGAAGUUUUUAUUCAUCUUUACCUAUAUUUAUUGGAUUAGGUUCCAUUGGCAGUGUCAACAGGUUAAAGACGAUGUACCCUUUUCCCGUUUGGAUACCAACCAUUGCAUUCAGCAAUAAUUUUUUGCUUACUACAAACCGUAAGAAGAUGAAGCUUACUGAUUUGGGGCUUGCACGAGAGGAAACUGUAACUGAAAUGAUGACGACUGAAACUGGGACAUACUGAUAUGGACACAGAGGUUAUAAAUCACUCUUUUCCACAAUAGAUAGUCAAUAUUAAAAAAAUUAGGAACUGAAGCCGAAAUAAAAUGGUUCCUGGUUGUAGUUUCCCGGGUUGAUUCUUCAAAUUAUACUUCAAUUUGUAUGCCCUCGCGAUAAUUUUCUGCCUGAAGUUUCUAGAGCUCACUGAUUUUAGGACCUUCUAUACAAAGAGAAAUCUGAUGCUCUAGAAUUUGUGUAUGAAGAUUGCUUUAAUAACAAUCGUAAAUAUAAUUAUAUUCUUCAAUUAAGUAAUGAUAAUGUAAUAUUGCAUCCUGUCAUUUACAAUCAGAUAGACAAGUGACCUUAAGUAUAAGGUUUCAAGCUAUUUAACGCUCAAUGCUUGUUAUAUAAUUCUCCGUGGUAAGAUCAACUGAGUUGGGCAUCAUAAUUGGCACUAAACAUCCAAAGUUAAGUUCGUGCUCACCAUUUCAUGAUUAUAUUUUUGGUACUGAUAUUUUCAUAUUACCAGUUCGCUGAAGAUAGAGCUCUGGCAUUGUAUUGAAGCUCAACUCCGCAUGAAAGUGUACAACUUCACUGUUAUGUUCUGGCACUCGAAUUUGCUAUGCUUUGCAUGCUAGGAAUACUUACACGUUCAUUCUUAAAUCAUCUUGUUAUAUGGCAUUGUAGGUCUGAUGGAAAAGAACUUCUGUG